rnacentral:rRNA from 1 species
UACAGAGGUCUCAAGCGUUGUUCGGAUUCAUUGGGCGUAAAGGGUGCGUAGGCGGCGCGGUAAGUCGGGUGUGAAAUCUUGGAGCUUAACUCCGAAACUGCAUUCGAUACUGCCGUGCUUGAGGACUGGAGAGGAGACUGGAAUUUACGGUGUAGCGGUGAAAUGCGUAGAUAUCGUAAGGAAGACCAGUGGCGAAGGCGGGUCUCUGGACAGUUCCUGACGCUGAUGCACGAAGGCCAGGGGAGCAAACGGG